CGUGUUCUGUGCGAUAUAAUAUAGAAUUUAAUAAGAGAAUCGAUAAAGUUUAUUGCGGCUAAAAUUAUUGUACUCGUGAAUCUCGAUAGGUUGGUGGUACCUAAUAUUGUUCUUAUCGGAGUACAUUCUGGCGACAAUCGUGAGCCGGGCGCGAGCUACCACCACCCGGGCAUACGCCCCGAAGGGGUCUGAAGAUUGAUCCGAGUGGGGAUCCGCUAGGGUAGGAGACCCAUGGACUGACAUUGCCAGAAGGCUUGUUUGUUUUUUUUAAGUUAAGUUUCUACAUGCUAAUAGGAAAGAUAUUGUGUAGUUAAUUUAAUUGAAUAACAAACAGUUAAAGGUAAAAAAGUUAGGUCAUUCCGUAGUCAAGAAGUCUAUUCCUAAUUUAGUGCGAAAUGCCCCUAAAUGAAUAAAAGUGUUUUACAAUGGAA